ACGGGUGAGGAACACGUAGGGAUCUGCCUUGUAGAGGGGGGCAACUAGAGGAAACUCUAGCUAAUACCCCAUAAACUCUGAGGAGGAAAUGGUGGGUAGCAAUACCUGUCGCUAUAAGAGGAGCCUGCGUCCGAUUAGCUAGUUGGUUAGGUAAAGGCUGACCAAGGCGAUGAUCGGUAGCUGGUCUGAGAGGAUGAUCAGCCACACUGGGACUGAGACACGGCCCAGACUCCUACGGGAGGCAGCAGUGGGGAAUAUUGGACAAUGGGGGCAACCCUGAUCCAGCAAUGCCGCGUGUGUGAAGAAGGCCUUCGGGUUGUAAAGCACUUUAGGUUGGGAGGAAGUUGUGUAGUUUAAGAGAUAACACAAUUGACUGUACUGACAGAAUAAGCACCGGCUAACUCUGUGCCAGCAGCCGCGGUAAUACAGAGGGUGCAAGCGUUAAUCGGAAUUACUGGGCGUAAAGGGCGCGUAGGUGGUUGAUUAAGUGAGUUGUGAAAUCCCUGGGCUUAACCUAGGAGCUGCAACUUAUACUGAUUGACUGGAGUACAGUAGAGGGUGGAGGAAUUUCCGGUGU
rnacentral:rRNA from 1 species